rnacentral:tRNA from 2 species
GCGGAUGUGGCGGAAUUGGCAGACGCGCUGGAUUUAGGUUCCAGUGGGAGACCGUGGGGGUUCAAGUCCCUUCAUCCGCACCA